UGACUAUACUUGGGGAAGAAAUUAUAAAGGAACUUUUAGAUAGCAUAGCCAAUUCUCUAGUGAAGAAAAUCUAGGAGAAAUGUUAGAGUAUGUGAUUUCCCCUACUUUCUUCUCUAGUCUCAUCUUUCACAGAUUUCUCCAUUUUUGUUGUUGUUGUUUUUGUUUAUUUUGAGUCAUAUCUAAAUCCUAGCAGCCCUGAUACAAUGUCACUGUCUAUUUUCCUUCCUUAAUUUUCUGAAUGGGCAUGCCAUCCCACAUGUUGUAAGCAUGAGUAUUCUGCAAUCAGCACAAAGGACUCUCACCAGUUACCAAGUCCAGGAUGCCUUAUAAAGCGUAUGUGACUUGAUCCAGCACAGAGACUGCUGGCUAACAUUAGUCGUCAAUAUGCCUUGGUAAGCAAUCCUUCAAGGUUCUACAAAAAUGUGCAAGUUAACAAUCUGGUUCUUUGAAAACAGAGAGCCUGUGUUUGCUGGGCAAGGAUAACAGUCUUACAACGUGGACCAUGUGGGUAUUUAAGCAAACACAUACUUAUCUGUAGAAAUAAAACCCACUCACAUUCUCUUAAACACACAGCCCUCUAGCCGUCGUAUCUUUUUAUAUCAUGAAGCUCAUCAAUAUAAUCCAUACAACCCUCGGAGAACAGCAGGCUUUAAAUAAGUUAAGGACCAGUGUUCCAUGAGGAUGAUGAUGCCAUUAACAUUUGUGUUGGAAAGUGAGUAGAACAAAAAUAGAGAUCUUUAAUUAGUCAUGCCUAAUGACCAAGGUAGCUAAAACACAAAUCAGAAUAUUUACCAUGGUGCAAAUCUAGUUAUAGGGGGAAGGUGUUAUGUAUGUGUUUAGAGUUUUGCUUUUAGCAUAUGAUAGGCUAUAGAUAUGACCUGGAGAGGAGUAUAUUUCAAAUCUCUUCGUCUAUGAAAUUUGAAAUAGUUUUGUAGUAGGUGUGCUCUGAGGUUGUGGAACAAAACUCUCUACACAUAAGUGAAGGCUGUAAGUAGUGAGUUUUUCCUAGGGAGCAUUGCCAUUAAAGACCAAUCAGGUUUACGAUGGGUAUGGAGAAGUUUGCCAAACAUGACCUCAGGCCAGGCAACUGUUGUUCAAAUCAACAAUGACUAAAUCCUGUUGGAUAGGUCCAUUUAUCAAUAUUAUGAGAACAUCACAGAAUGUCACCUUCCUUCUGUGGUCACUUGUUUUUUUCACGCUCAUAACCACAGUACAGUUAUGUCAAGAGCAUCAGAAAACCUUGUUAGUAACAUUUUACAAAAUACCUGGACAGUGCAGGGUCCAUAGAGUGAGUCAUUUCGAAUGUAAAAUAAUUCCAAAGAAUGGAUUCUAUCUCUCACAUCCAAAACAUCCACUGUAAUCUCAGGUAAAAUGCUUUUCUUACGCACUAUUAAAACUCUGGGCAUGUCCUUGUUUGUGUAGGGUCAUGAUUGUUAUAUGAAAGAAAGUUAAUACAUUUGAAAAGCUAGAAACUUUGGGGGCAUAUAAAAGUGUGUUUUCAGACCACUGAGGAUGUUUUAGGUGUAACCUGAUAUAUUUUAUUAGUCUUCUGAAAUAAUACAAGUAAAAACAUUAGUAAAUUUGUCAAUAGCACAUAUUAAAUCUAUCAUAUACUCUUCAAAAAUGUCGUUUUUCUAAGCAUUGGGAGGGUCAGGCUAAUAAAUUGAGAGAGAAUGCUCAUGAUAAGGGUAAUUUCUCUUUAAAGUAUUUUAACUUUCUUUGCAUCAUUAAAAUGAAUGCAUCCUGUGCCAGAACAAAAAAAAAAUCAGAAUUGUGGUAACAUUUUAUUGAAAUAUUUACUGUAAAACAAAAUGUCCCCCAAACAUUUUUUAUUACAUUAUAUCAGAUCUGUAAGUAUUUUGUUCUGUGACUAUGGAUAUGGAUUCAACGCCUCUUUUCUGUAAGGACUGUAAUGAACAUUAUACAGAUCCUGCACAGAUCAAUUGCAGUGGAGUUUCUGUUCAUGUUAGCCUAUAGAGAGUGGUUAAAAGCUACAUUCAAGCACAAUCUGCAUCCUGUUAUCCUUGUGUUUGCCUCAAAGAAAGGUAUUUUUAAGAAGUGGUAUGGCAUUGUUCUCCUCAUUGCCUCCUGUCAAAUCAUAUUGCUUGGUAACUCAUGACAAACCUGUUGUGUGUUAGCUAGAAGCUCAUGAAGUAAAAUUUGAAAUGCCAGCAAUCUGGCUUUGCUUUGACAAAAACCAAAGUAGAUUGCAAUGCUGAAAUUGCAUAAAUCAAGAAUGGAAAACAAUCUAGGGUUUGGCCAAUUUGAGGCUACAAUGUGGGUCCUGUAUACAGCCUUUCCUGGUCUUCAGAAAUGACAUAAUUAUUGGUGUUAUUCUCUAGAAGUGUCAGAAUGGUUUUGCUUGAACUUAUUUUUUACAAAGACAGGUUGGAUUUUGUGGUUGUUGUUGCUGUUUAGUAAAAUCUCUCUAGAUCACAUAGCUAUAAUGCCUUGAUUAAUAAAAUGCUUUCAAAGGUUACAGGAACCAUGUGUGUCUCCAAGUAUGUGUUAAGAAGCUGGAGACAGACUGAAACAUAUAAACAUUCUGUUGUCAUCAAAGGAUGUUUGUAGUCCAGCAUAGAGUAACCACUUGUCAAGUGACCACAGGAGUUAGUACAGAUCAACACAACAAAGAGAUAUAUAGGAUACU
rnacentral:lncRNA from 1 species